rnacentral:rRNA from 1 species
UGAAGUAUAUACACAGUGGCGCCUUAUUGGAUUGGCGUCAGGAUGAUAAGACAGGUAGCUUUGGCAAAUCCGGGCUACUGCUUUAAUGCAACUAUCAGUCAUUUUGGGCACUCUGCGGCUACGGCCAGGGAGGACUGCUGUUAAGAGACUUCCAAGAAAAACUUCUAAACUUAUUACGCGUACGACCGUACCGCAAACCGACACAGGUGUGCAGCUUGAGUAGAGUAAGGCGAACGAGUGAGUGUACUCCAAGGAACUCGGCAAAAAAUCGGCCGUACCUUCGGAAUAAGGCCUGCCCUUUGUUAACUCAAGGGGCCGCAGCGAAAGAUUCCCUGGCGACUGUUUACCAAAAACACAGCUCCCUGCGAACUCGUAAGAGGAUGUGUAGGGGGUGACACUUGACCAAUGCCAGAAGGUCAACUACGGCCGGUGCUAUGUCGCAAGAUGUAGUGCUGACGCUGUAUAAGCCCUGGUGAAUGUCGGCGAUAACUAUAAUCGUCCUAAGGUAGCGAAAUUCCUUGUCUGGUAAGCUCAGACGCGCACGAAUAGUGUAACGACUGGGGAACUGUCUCGGAGUACAGCUCGGUGAAAAUACAGUACCGGUGAAGAUGCCGGUUACCUGCAGAUAGACGAAAAGACCCCAGAAGCUUUACUGUAGCUUGAUAUUGCGUAUACGAGUUCACUGCGUAGCAUAGGUGGGAGAGGUUGAGGUCGGGGUUUUGGCUCCGGCGGACUCGUCAGUGAAAUACCACUCUGUGUUCUUGUAUGCGCUAACCGGCAGGAUUAAACCCUGUCGAGACAGUAUCUGGUAGGCAGUUUUAGUGGGGCGCUAUCCUCCCAAAAAGUAACGGAGGAGUGUAUUAAGGUCGGCUAGGCGCGAAUGGAAACCGUGCCGAUAGCGCAAUGGCAAAAGCCGGCUUGACUGUAAGUCGUAAAUGACGAGCAGGUGCGAAAGCAGACCAUAGUGAACCGACCAUAGGCAUUAGAUGCUGUGGAAGAUUAUCUGACAAAAGCUACUCUGGGGAUAACAGGCUAGUUCCGCCUAAGCGUCCAUAGCGACGGCGGAGUUCGGCGCCUCGAUGUCGGCUCACCAUAUCCCGGGGCUGAAGAAGGUCCCAAGGGUUUGGCUGUUCGCCAAUUAAAAUGGUACGCGAGCUGGGUUCAGACCGUCGUGAGACAGGUUGGUCUCCUAUCUACUGCAGGCGUCGAUUCUUGAUGAGAUUUGCUCCUAGUACGAGAGGACCGGAGUGAACUAACCACUGGUCUGGCUGCUGUCCUGCCAAGGGCACCGCAGCGUAGCUAUGUUGGGAAAGGAUAAGCGCUGAAAGCAUCUAAGCGCGAAGCCAGCUCAAAGAUGAGGAAUCAUUACGAUCCGUUAGAGAUGAUGACGUUGAUAGGCUUUAGGUGUACGCAUAGUAAUGUGCUGAGCCGAGAAGUACUAAUCGACC